rnacentral:rRNA from 1 species
GACGAACGCUGGCGGCGUGCUUAACACAUGCAAGUCGAACGGAAAGUCCCUGCUUUUGUGGGGUGCUCGAGUUGCGAACGGGUGAGUAACACGUGAGUAACCUGCCCUUGACUUUGGGAUAACUUCAGGAAACUGGGGCUAAUACCGGUAAGGAGCUCCUGCUGCUUUGUGGGGUUUGGACAGUUUCGGCGGUUGGGGAUGGACUCGCGGCUUAUCAGCUUGUUGGUGGGGUAGUGGCUUACCAAGGCUUUGACGGGUAGCCGGCCUGAGAGUGUGACCGGGCAAAGUGGGACAGAGAUACGGCCCGGACUCCUACGGGAGACAGCAGUGGGGUAGAUUGCACGAUGGGCGGAAGCCUGAUGCAGCAACGCCGCGUGCGGGAUGACGGCCUUCGUGUGGUAAACCGCUUUCGCCUGUAACGAUGCGUGAGUGACGGUAAUGUAUAAAGAAGCACCGGCUAACUACGUG